ACCCUGUAGAUCCGGAUUUGUG
rnacentral:miRNA from 4 species